rnacentral:tRNA from 1 species
GCCUGGGUGGCUCAGUCGGUUGAGCAUCUGACUUUGGCUCAGGUCAUGAUCUCACAGUCUGUGAGUUCAAGCCCCGCAUCGGGCU